UAACCAUACCACAUGAAACCAAAUGAAA
rnacentral:sRNA from 1 species